GUGCCAGCAGCCGCGGUAAUACAGAGGGUGCAAACGUUGUUCGGAAUUACUGGGCGUAAAGCGCGUGUAGGCGGCAACGCAAGUCGGAUGUGAAAGCCCAUGGCUCAACCAUGGAAGUGCACUCGAAACUGCGUUGCUAGAGUCUCGGAGAGGAAGGUGGAAUGCUUGGUGUAGAGGUGAAAUUCGUAGAUAUCAAGCGGAACACCGGUGGCGAAGGCGGCCUUCUGGACGAGUACUGACGCUGAGACGCGAAAGCGUGGGUAGCAAACAGGAUUAGAUACCCCCGUAGUCC
rnacentral:rRNA from 1 species